UCUCAUGGAUGAGCAAAGAAAGUGGUUUCUUGACAUGGAAUCUAUCCCUGGUGAAUAUGCUGUGAA
rnacentral:pre_miRNA from 1 species